AUCAUUACCAGAUUUACCAUCAGCUUUAACAUGUUACAUCCCAGACUACUGUACAGGCAUCGACUGUUGUUAUCACUUUGACUACCUGGAUCUGUCACUCAAUAUUUACCUGUAUAUUGAUACCUGUAAUUAUGUCAUCAAAGGAGGGAUAGAGAAAUUUACCUUUGAGUUACCUUUCUUCCAUUAUAACUGGGGUGAAGAAAAAGAAGAAAGAUUACAGGAAGUUAUUAGGAUCAAAUACAAAAUCAACAAGUUGUCAGAACAGAAGAAAUUCAUUGUUGAUUUGGAGUUCAGUAUAUGUUUGGAGAAAGAUAAAUGUGAUACCAAGCUUCCAUUGUUUACCAAACAGUUAAUACCACAACCAUUCUGUGAUAUGAACAUGAAUUUCAGUA